rfam:Oryza meridionalis cultivar OR44 (W2112) chromosome 7, whole genome shotgun sequence.
AAAUAGACAAACCAUGGAUUUCCGUGCUAACAUUUGACUGUCUGUCUUAUAUAAAAUUUUUUUAUAAUUAAUAUUUUUAUUGUUGUUAGAUGAUAAAACAUGAUUAAUACUUUAUGCGUGAAAUAAGACGGAUGGUCAAAUGUUGGACACGGAAAUCAGGGUUUGUCUUUUU